AUUUAUACACAUUUAAUGAAUUUAUUAAUAUAAAUACAGGGUAAAGCUAAUGAAUACGUCCGAACUCAUACCUAGUAUUGUAGCUCCUCCACUCUUGCCCACAGUGGCUUCUUCCACUGUCGCAUGACACUUGCACUGUGGUAGUGGUGACCAAGUAAUCUGUCACACCUUCACAUGGAACUGGAUUCAGAGGAUGCUACAGUCCGGUGUAGAUCAACAGAUAUCAUGUCGACUGAGGAAUUCAAUUAUACGUGGAUAUACUUGAUAGUACGCCAUUCGUCCACCAACUAGAUCAUAAUGGGCAUAGUGGGGACCUCGAGGUUCACCAAAAACUUUAUAAGUAGCCAAGUUCUCAGGAAUCAG
rnacentral:misc_RNA from 1 species